UGGGGAAUUUUGGACAAUGGGGGAAACCCUGAUCCAGCCAUCCCGCGUGUGCGAUGAAGGCCUUCGGGUUGUAAAGCACUUUUGGCAGGAAAGAAACGUCGCGGGUUAAUACCCCGCGAAACUGACGGUACCUGCAGAAUAAGCACCGGCUAACUACGUGCCAGCAGCCGCGGUAAUACGUAGGGUGCAAGCGUUAAUCGGAAUUACUGGGCGUAAAGCGUGCGCAGGCGGUUCGGAAAGAAAGAUGUGAAAUCCCAGAGCUUAACUUUGGAACUGCAUUUUUAACUACCGGGCUAGAGUGUGUCAGAGGGAGGUGGAAUUCCGCGUGUAGCAGUGAAAUGCGUAGAUAUGCGGAGGAACACCGAUGGCGAAGGCAGCCUCCUGGGAUAACACUGACGCUCAUGCACGAAAGCGUGGGGAGCAAACAGGAUUAGAUACCCUGGUAGUCCACGCCCUAAACGAUGUCAACUAGCUGUUGGGGGCCUUCGGGCCUUGGUAGCGCAGCUAACGCGUGAAGUUGACCGCCUGGGGAGUACGGUCGGCAAGAUUAAAAACUU
rnacentral:rRNA from 1 species